AUGAACCGAUACCGGAGGGGGAUAAGGAUUAUCCGGGGGAUGACCUGCGAAAGCAGGCGGCUGCUCAGAGAGCACAACCGAUGCCCCGCAACACCUCAACAGCGACCCGCCCCGGCGCUCAGGUAUCGUUCG
rnacentral:sRNA from 12 species